GGAAAAAGGUUCCGGCCUCAGCCGGCGCACCUGGCGGAGGAGGAACCUCGCGACGCGCUCUCGGGCAUCGGUUUCUCCCAGCAAAGCUUGGAGGGUUUAGCUGCGCGGAGAGCUCAGCGAGCUCUUCUGUGUCUGUUUGGGGCGUGUGGGCUCCGGGAGCGUGAGGACCGGGAAGCUAGGAGGCUCCUUCCCUUCUGGCGGCUCCCUCACUGAGACCGGGCGGUUUGGUUGCGGGGGAAGUGGAGACGAGCCACCCUUGACCUUUGACUGCAAGAACUCACCUUGAGCAGGAUAGAGGCACGUGGACGGUGACCCUCGGGAUGCAAUAAAUGCUGAGACAGAUCAGGUGUGCAAGGCACAGAGCUAGAGGCCAGAGGCCUUUCUUCUCCAACCUUCAGUCACCUCUUUUUAAAGUGAAGCCAGCAUCCUCCUCGGGGUUUACUGUGAAAAUUAAGUGAGCUGACGCGUGCUGUGUUUUGAUGUUGCUUGGCUCCUACAAACAUUGAGUGGGCCAGACACUGUUCUGAAAAAUACGCAGUCGACUUUUGAACAGCACAGGCUUGAACUGCAUGCGGCCACUAAUACUCGGACUUCCUUCUGCCUCUGCCAUCCCUAAGACAGCAAGACCCACCCCUCCUGCUCCUCAGCCUACUCGAUGUGAUGAUGAUGCAGAGAUUCAGAGAGUCUAAGCAACUUUUCUAAAUCAUCUAGCUGGAAUUCAGUAACUGAGCCAGGAUCUACCCCAGGUCUGUCUGACUCCAAAGCCUGUGUCUUCCAGCACACACUGCUGCUGCCUGGGCAGGAAUGUGGAUAUGAUGUCUGGAGCUCUAGCAACCAUAUCAGACCACAAGGAUGAAUGUACACCCCAGGAAUGGAAGAGAGGAAAGCCAGAAAAAGACUCGGUCCCUGAUGGCUGAAGAGCUACCAUACCUGCCCCUAGAUCUUCUAUUUCUGAUCAUCUUCUAUGCAAGGACAUUACUGACUUCUCCUGUUAGCUCUGUCGUGCUUACAUCAUGAUGCCCAUUUUUCAGGUAAAGAAAUAGUGGCUCAAACAAG
rnacentral:lncRNA from 10 species